CCCUUAGAUGUUCUGGGCCGCACGCGUGCUACACUGAGUGGAUCAGCGGGUCAGGUUGCGCGAAAGUGUUUCCUAAUCUUGAAAUCCGCUCGUGAUGGGGAUUGACGGUUGCAAUUUUCCGUCGUGAACGAGGAAUACCUUGUAAGCGCGGGUCAUCAUCCCGCGCUGAAUACGUCCCUGCCCUUUGUACACACCGCCCGUCGCUCCUACCGAUUGAGUGGUCCGGUGAGGCUUUGGGAUCUGAGCGGAAAGAGCGUUUCGCUGUUUCUGCUCGGAAAACUCAGUCGAACCUUAUCAUUUAGAGGAAGGAGAAGUCGUAACA
rnacentral:rRNA from 1 species